AUCCAGCUGACGAGUCCCACGUAGAACGAAACGCGCAUCCUGGAU
rnacentral:hammerhead_ribozyme from 1 species